rnacentral:lncRNA from 1 species
CUCCAAUAGAUUACAAAUCUUCUGCUCUUGCUCUUGAGGCUUCCGAAUCAAAACUUGAUAAAAUUAUGAUUUUGCCCCUGAAAUACAAUAAAUUUUUUUUCAAGCUAAAAUUAUUAGUAACCCCCUCAAAUGCUUUGUAAUCAUCAAAAUCAAUUCAAGAAGCAACAAGAAAGUUAGAGAGAAAAUAAUUUUAUAUUUCUUUCGAUCCAUCGAGUCCAAAUACAAUGUAUGUUUAUAUAUAGGGUCAAUGUGAUCCAACCCAAAAACUUCCUUGGCUAACUCAAUACAAGAUUAUGCUCACCUAAGCCCAUAUACACUCAUGACUUGAUCCAAUCUCAUAAUCUUAGAUUUAAUCCUAGUCCAAAUAUAAGUUAGCCCCUCGAGGCCCAAAAUCUCUAGAUCUCAAGAUCCGAAAGGCUGACAGCCUUUCAUCCUAAGUUCCAAACUAGCCCUAGAAACCUCAUGACCACUUCAUGGGCUUUGGACCUUGGUCUUAGUCUUGAUCCCUUGAGCCUUGGGAGCACCACAUAAGGCCCAACAGGCAUGAGUUCUAGUGUGGCAUGGCCCACCAAUAGGUUCGACCUGUUGGUACUGGGCCAUGACGUGGGCGAAAGCCCAUGCGCUGUGGUGGGGUUGUUGGUCUACAGGCCAAUGGAGCGGAUGGCAGGGGAGCAGCCUCAAGCCAGCCCAAGCGCAUCUGACCCAGUGACUUUGAUGUGUGUCGGGCACUUAUGAAGCCUAGCAGGUGGGAGAAAGGGCUCAAUGGAUCCAAAAAGGGUCCUAUAAAGCCGAAUAGGGCCAAGGGCAUGGGUCCAGUUGCCCGAAGGCCCAGAUUGAUUUGUUUGCUACCUUUGGUGGCUUGGGGG